rnacentral:rRNA from 1 species
UACGUAGGGUGCAAGCGUUGUCCGGAAUUAUUGGGCGUAAAGGGCUCGUAGGCGGUCCAUCACGUCGGGAGUGAAAAGCUGGGGCUUAACCCCAGUCCUGCUUCCGAUACGGGUGGACUAGAGGUAGGCAGGGGAGAACGGAAUUCCUGGUGUAGCGGUGAAAUGCGUAGAGAUCGGGAAGAACGCCAAGGGCGAAGGCACUCUGCUAGGCCUGAUUUCGCGACUGACACUCAGGGACGAGAGCCAGGGGAGCGAAUGGG